rnacentral:misc_RNA from 1 species
GAAAUGCGAUAAGUAGUGUGAAUUGCAGAAUUCAGUGAAUCAUCGAAUCUUUGAACGCACAUUGUGCCCUUUGGUAUUCCUUAGGGCAUGCCUGUUCGAGCGUCAUCUAAACCUUCAAGCCCUGCUUGGUGUUGGGUGCCUGUCCCGCCUCCGCGCGCGGACUCACCUCAAAUCCAUUGGCGGCCCCCGCGUCGGCCACGAGCGCAGCAGAAACGCGAACUCGUGAGCCCGUCCGGGCGGCUCCCAGAAGCUACACCCACCCAGUUUGACCUCGGAUCAGGUAGGGAUACCCGCUGAACUUAAGC